rfam:Brachypodium distachyon strain Bd21 chromosome 1, whole genome shotgun sequence.
UGGCUGUGAUGACAAAAUAACUUCCAUUUCUCGGUGCUGAUACUUGAUCUACUCAAGGACCCAAAAUUUGAUGAGCUUUGUGCGUGUCUGAGCCGA